AGGAACACACACAGAUUCAUGUACUUGAUGAUAUAGACUAAACAAUGCAUUAAGUCUACCCAUGCAUCCACCGAAACUACUCAUUCGUGGUCAUCAGUCUUUGGGCUUUUGCAAUUUGGCAAGAGCUGCCUAAAUUGCAGCCACUGACUGUUGGGUUUGAUGCACAGGUAGGUCACAUGUAAGUCAAAAUUCGAGGAAACUAAAUUUUUGAAGGAUAAAAGAUUGCAAUAGGGAGAUUAUUCACCUGAAAAUUUUUAUGAACCCAGGUAACCAAUGGCUCCUUUUGUGCACCAUUGGCUUGAGCAUUCUUUGGACCGUUUGCAAUCUUUUCUGAUGGUGAUGAAGUCUCCGAAGAGCUUUUUGUAGCUUGGGACUCUUUCUCCAGUAUGUCAACAAGCUCAUUUAGCAAGAAGUUCAAAAAUUCAUGGGCAUCCUACAAAAAACAGAAAAG